AACGAACGCUGGCGGCAUGCCUAACACAUGCAAGUCGAACGAGAUCUUCGGGUCUAGUGGCGCACGGGUGCGUAACGCGUGGGAAUCUGCCCUGUGGUUCGGAAUAACAGUUGGAAACGACUGCUAAUACUGGAUGAUGACGAAAGUCCAAAGAUUUAUCGCCAGAGGAUGAGCCCGCGUAGGAUUAGCUAGUUGGUGUGGUAAAGGCGCACCAAGGCGACGAUCCUUAGCUGGUCUGAGAGGAUGAUCAGCCACACUGGGACUGAGACACGGCCCAGACUCCUAAGGGAGGCAGCAGUGGGGAAUAUUGGACAAUGGGCGAAAGCCUGAUCCAGCAAUGCCGCGUGAGUGAUGAAGGCCUUAGGGUUGUAAAGCUCUUUUACCCGGGAUGAUAAUGACAGUACCGGGAGAAUAAGCUCCGGCUAACUCCGUGCCAGCCGCCGCGGUAA
rnacentral:rRNA from 1 species